rnacentral:rRNA from 1 species
GACGAACGCUGGCGGCGUGCUUAACACAUGCAAGUCGAACGGAAAGGCCCUGCUUUUGUGGGGUGCUCGAGUGGCGAACGGGUGAGUAACACGUGAGUAACCUGCCCUUGACUUUGGGAUAACUUCAGGAAACUGGGGCUAAUACCGGAUAGGAGCUCCUGCUGCAUGGUGGGGGUUGGAAAGUUUCGGCGGUUGGGGAUGGACUCGCGGCUUAUCAGCUUGUUGGUGGGGUAGUGGCUUACCAAGGCUUUGACGGGUAGCCGGCCUGAGAGGGUGACCGGGCACAUUGGGACUGAGAUACGGGCCAGACUCCUACGGGGGGGAGCAGUUGGGAAUAUUGCACAAUGGGCGGAAGCCUGAUGCAGCAACGCCGCGUGCGGGAUGACGGCCUUCGGGUUGUAAACCGCUUUCGCCUGUGACGAAGCGUGAGUGACGGUAAUGGGUAAAGAAGCACCGGCUAACUACGUG